AAAGAAACAAUAAAAUGGAAACAAGAAUAAUGAGACAAGUGAUAAAAGGAUGAUGGUUCUUGAAGUGAACGGAUUUGGAGUCAAUUGUAUUAGGUGCAGGAGGGUUGUAAAAGUAGAAAGGGAAAUACGGUACAAUGGGGUUGGGAGGUGGUGGGAUUGGGUACAUAGAAGGGUUGGUUGGAGAAAAGUAGUAAUCACCAUUACCACCACCGCUACCUCCACCACUAUAAGGCGGGGUCAUAGGCUGAGAGCAGCCUCCCAGGCAAGGUUGUGGUGGUGAAGGAGGUGGUGGAAGUGACGGUGGUGGGGGGCAUGGAAGAGAUGGUGGCGGUGAUGGUGGUGGUGGAGAGAAGAUAGGCUGACAUGGGUUGUCACAAG
rnacentral:lncRNA from 1 species